CCUACGGGAGGCAGCAGUAGGGAAUCUUCCGCAAUGGACGAAAGUCUGACGGAGCGACGCCGCGUGAGCGAAGAAGGUCUUCGGAUCGUAAAGCUCUGUUGUUAGGGAAGAAGAAGUACCGUUCGAAUAGGGCGGUACGGUGACGGUACCUAACGAGAAAGCCCCGGCUAACUACGUGCCAGCAGCCGCGGUAAUACGUAGGGGGCGAGCGUUGUCCGGAAUUAUUGGGCGUAAAGCGCGCGCAGGCGGUCCCUUAAGUCUGAUGUGAAAGCCCACGGCUCAACCGUGGAGGGCCAUUGGAAACUGGGGGACUUGAGUGCAGAAGAGGAGAGCGGAAUUCCACGUGUAGCGGUGAAAUGCGUAGAGAUGUGGAGGAACACCAGUGGCGAAGGCGGCUCUCUGGUCUGUAACUGACGCUGAGGCGCGAAAGCGUGGGGAGCAAACAGGAUUAGAUACCCUGGUAGUCCACGCCGUAAACGAUGAGUGCUAAGUGUUAGAGGGGUCAAACCCUUUAGUGCUGUAGCUAACGCGUUAAGCACUCCGCCUGGGGAGUACGCCCGCAAUGCA
rnacentral:rRNA from 1 species